rnacentral:tRNA from 1 species
AGCCAGGAAACGAGAAAUUCGCCUACGGUUUCGACCCGUAUAAUGACAGUGAAAAUCUGUCCCUGUUUA